rnacentral:rRNA from 1 species
AUACAUGAGAGCAAGCGUUAUACAUAUUGACUGGGUGUAUUAAAUAUUUUGAAGAUUAUAAAUAAUUUUAUAAAAUUUAAUUUAAAUUAAAUAUAAAAAUUUAUUUAUAAAUAAAAUUUUUUUAAUAAGAAAAGAAAACUUAUAAAUAGCGAUUAAAUGCAGUUACAUUAUAAUGUUUGCCAAAAAUGAAAGUACUUUUCUGUUAAAAAAAUUAUUUUAUAUAUGAAAGUAUGGGUAUCGAAAAGGAUUAGAAACCCUAUUAGUCCAUACUGUAAAAGAUGAAUAUUUUAUGAUUAUUUUUUAAUCAGUAAUAGCUAACGUAAAAUAUUCUACUUGGGGAGUAUAGUCGCAAGAUUUAAACUUAACUGAAUUGGCGGGAAUUUGAAUAAACGGUGGAACAUGUGGUUUAAUACGAUAAUCCACGUAAAAUCUUACCAACAUUUAUUUUAUUUAAUUUAUAGUAGUAUAUGUAGCAAUAUAACUAAUAAAUAAAAUUUGGUAUUGCAUGGCUGUCGUCAGUUCGUGUUUUGAAAUGUAUAAUUAAGUUUUUUUUAAACGAACGUAACCCUAAAAAUAAAAUUAAUAAUUAUUUAGUUUUAAUAUUUGUUAUAUUUAUUUUUUUAUUUAUUUAUUAAAUUAUAUUUUUGAAAUUAUAAAUAAAUAAGGGUUUUAGGCUGAAGUCAAGUCUUUAUGGUCCGUAUAUGUUGGGCUACACACGUGUUACAAGGGUAAAAACAAAAAGACGCAAUAUAGUGAUAUUGAGCAAAACUUUAAAAAUUACCCAAGUACAGAUUGUUUUAUGAAACUCUAAAACAUGAAGGUGAAAUCGUUAGUAAUUGUAAAUUAAAAUGUUACAGUGAAUUUUAAAUCAAAUUUUGCACACACCGCCCAUCACGCUCGAAAAAUCUUUUUUAAGAAAGACCAAAAAAAUUUUUAUUUUUAAAUUAUAUUUUUAAAAAUAUAAUUGUUAAUUUUUUUUUUUAAAAAAAAUAAAAACUAUUAUUGUCUAAAUAAAGAUAGGUAAUUUGAGUGAAGUU